rnacentral:rRNA from 1 species
AUUGAACGCUGGCGGCAGGCCUAACACAUGCAAGUCGAGCGGAGCGGCGGACGGGUGAGUAAUGAAUAGGAAUCUGCCUGGUCGUGGGGGAUAACGUCCGGAAACGGGCGCUAAUACCGCAUACUAUCAGAUGAGCCUAGGUCGUAUUAGCUAGUUGGUGGGGUAAAGGCCUACCAAGGCGACGAUCCGUAACUGGUCUGAGAGGAUGAUCAGUCACACUGGAACUGAGACACGGUCCAGACUCCUACGGGAGGCAGCAGUGGGGAAUAUUGGGCAAUGGGCGAAAGCCUGAUCCAGCAAUGCCGCGUGUGUGAAGAAGGUCUUCGGAUCGUAAAGCACUUUAAGUUGGGAGGCGGUACCAACAGAAUAAGCAACGGCUAACUUCGUGCCAGCAGCCGCGGUAAUUC